GAUUUUAUAGUUUAAUGGUUAGAAUACUUUAUUAAAGAAAGGCUUAGGUUUGAUUCCUAAUAGGAGCG